CUACUUCAUCCAGCUUAAGGGCUCAGGAGUAGGCCAUUGUGGAGGAAGUGACAGGAGCCCUGUUAUGUAAGAAGACAGGGAGGUAGAUUGCCCAUGCUCACCUCCGGGAGCCUCAGUCACUCUACCACAGAGUGCCCCAGGAGAGACAGAAUGAAAGGAAAGGAAGCAGUGAAAAUGAAGAGGCCAGUGCUGAUGUUCUGGCCCACAGUUUUAGAAGAAAGCCGAAGAGUGUGGUCUACGGAGCAUGCUGCGCUUGCCAGGGGUGUGGACGCAGAGUUCAAGCACAGACAAAGGGCAGGCAGUGAUUUCAUACUUCUGAUAGGUAAGUUAGCUCAGUUGUACUCGGAUUCUGUGCUACCCUCUUCUGUCCAUAGGCUCCUUUUUCAAAGUAGGCCUCUCCCUGAGCUUCCUCUGUAUAUAUCUGGUUAGCACUGUGGCCGUGUAUGCUCGGUCUCCCUAAUGGUUCAUCAUGAUGAUCAUGAGAGCUCCGCCUCGGGGAUUGGAAAUAGUAUGAUCCCUUCUGGUAAUUUCAAACUCAAAGCCCAGAAAAGGCCAUGAUUUGACUAGAGUUGAUUUCAUGCGUCUGAUAGGUGUGCAAUGUAAGUUGCACCUUGUGUUUUAUCCCGUGAUAUUUACAUGCAUGACUUUCUGCAAUGUUUUAAUCCAGUUUAUACUGGUGCCGUGGAGGUUUUCUAGAAAUCACGUGUACAUUAGACUUCCAGUAAUAGUAUAGCUAGAUUUUCAGUGCUCAAGACUGAGCAAAGAAAGGCAGUAUUAUUUCAGUAACUUGAGACCUUUUAAAGCCGUCAGAGUAGCCUGCUCGUUUGAUUAACCUGAGAACUAGGAAAGAUUUGAGGUGAUCCUGUUGGUCUCCCUAGACUGCUGAGGAACAGAACUUGUUACUGUAUGUUGGAUCUAAAGGAUAAUGCUGAAACUUCCCUUGUGAAAUGUAGUCUGCUAGAGGGCCUUCUACUUAGCCGUUUUGUUUAUACAUAAUCAGAAUCUCUGUUGGGGAGGAUCAAGCAUGAAGUUGCUUGUCAUUUCUUUCUAAGACGAAAACUACACUUGUCAAAUGCCAGUUCUACGUUAUUCUUUUGGUCUGUGGCACAGGGCAGGCUUAGAAUAAUAGUGAAAGACGAAUAGCUUAUUUUGAUGAUGUAUUCUUUUGUGAUUUAAAAAAAAUAAGAUUUUAUUAAUUCGGGGCACCUGGGUGGCUCAGUGAUUGAGCCCCUGCCUUUGGCUCAGGUCCCACAUCAGGCUCCCCAGAGGGAGCCUGCCUCUCCCUCUGCCUCUCUCUUUUAUUUAUUUAUUUGAGAGAAAGGGAAAGCAUGAGUAGGGGGAGAAGAAUAGGGAGAAAUAGACUCCCCACCGAGUGAGGAACCUGAUCCAGGGGGAUCAAGAUUAUUCAUUUUUCUGUGUUGAGUUGUAUAAGUUCUUUAUAUAUUUUGGAUAUAAAGCCUUUAUUGGCUAUUUUAUUUAUAAAUGUCUUCUCUCACUCAGUAGGUUGCUUUUUUGUUUUGUUGAUGGGUUCUUUUACUGCGCAAUAGCUUUUUAUUUUGAUGUAGCAGUGCUAAUCAUGAGAGAAAUGCAAAUCAAAACUGCAAUGAGAUAUGGCCUCAUGCCUAUCAGAAUGACUAAAGAGACAACAAAUAACAAGUGUUGGCAAGGGUGUAGAGAAAAGGGACCCCUUGUACUGUUGGUUGGAUCAUAAAUUGAUAGCAAAAACUAUGGAAAACAGUAUAGAGGUUCCUCAAAAACUUAAAAAAUAGAAAUACCAUAUGAUCCAAUCACUCCACUACUGAGUAUUUACCCCCAAAAAUGGAAACCCUAAUUCAAAAAAGAUAUAUGGGGAUCCCUGGGUGGCUCAGUGGUUUAGUGCCUCCUUCGGCCCAGGGCCUGAUCCUGGAGACCCGGGAUCGAGUCCCACAUCGGGCUCCCUGCAUGGAGCCUGCUUCUCCCUCUGCCUGUGUCUCUGCUUCUCUCUCUCUCUCUCUCUGUGUGUGUGUCUCUCAUGAAUAAAUAAAUAAAAUCUUAAAAAAAAAAAGAUACA
rnacentral:lncRNA from 12 species